rnacentral:lncRNA from 1 species
GUACUUGCUCCCCAAAGCCUCCCCUGACUAAUUGUCUUAACUGUUUCUCUUCCCACCUAAAGACAAUAGCCCCCAUCUAUUGAGCUUCUAUAAUGGGCCAGAUCUGAACCAAGGAUGUUAGUCAGUUUUCCAUCACUAUAACAAAUACUUGAGAUAAAUCAACUUAAAAAGAGGAAAGGUUUAUUUUAGCUCAUGGUUUCCAAGGUUUCAGUCUCUGGUCAGUUGGCCUCAUUGCUUUGGGGCCUAUGGAAAGUCAGCAUACCAUGGUUGAAACAUGUGGUAGAGGAAGCUACUUACCUCAUGGCAGGAAUGAAAGAGGAAGGAAAAAGGGUCUGGGGUCCCAAUCUCCUUUAAGGUCAUGCCCCCCAGUAAACUAACUUCCUCUAAUUAGGCCCCACUUCCUAAAGGUUCCACCACCAUUUGGGCUGGGGACCAAAACUUCAACACAUGAGCCUUUGGAGACAUUCCAGAUUCAGAUGAUGGCACAAUGUCUUUACAGCACACACACACACACACACACGCACACAACACACACACACACACACACACACCUGGGCACAUGUAUAUUUGUUUUCUAACUUGGCAAGUGAUGAAAAGGGCAUUUCUAUAUUACCAGUUUUCAUCUUCUCCAACACCUCCCCCACCUUCCCACUUUACCCAUCCCCUCCUGCCUCAAAUGACAGUAGUGGAGAACAUUAUUUAGAAGAAAAAGGUAUGGAUGUAUUCAUGCACAAAAUUACAAUUAAACUCUUUUUUUAUGGGGGGGAGGUACCAGGGAUUGAACUCAGGGGCAGUCGACCACUGAGCCAUAUCCCUAGCCAUAUUUUGCAUCUGAUUUAGAGACAGGGUCUCACUG